GUGUCAUAAACGUGCUGAAAAAAAUUAUAGUGAUCAAAUCUGAAAUUGAUUAAUUCGUUUUAUUAGCAUAGUUUAUUGCCGCGAAAUAUUUAAAUAUUUGUGAACAGUGGAAGAGUGAUAUUAAGACGUUUAAACAGAGGAUAAAGAUGAUACUGUAAUAAUUUGACUGCCCUUCACAGAAUAUGUAAACAUAUAGAAGAAUUUCAAGAUGACAAGCAUUGAAAAUAUUUCGACGUUCCAGUUAAUACUUCUGAUUCUACUUGCGAGGAGUGCGAGUGCCCAGGAACCAACAGAAAAACAGAUCGAAUCUGAAAAGAAGAUUGGUCAGAUCUGUACAAUUGAUGAACAGUGCACGACGAAAAACGCGUCAUGUAUUGAAUCAGUCUGCAGCUGCAAUGAAAGUCACUUUUACUUAACAUCUGAUAACGCCUGUGUCCCAA